rnacentral:rRNA from 1 species
AUGAACGCUGGCGGCGUGCCUAAUACCUGCAAGUCGCGCGAACAGACGAGGAGCUUGCUCCUCUGACGUUAGCGGCGGACAGGUGAGUAACACGUGGAUAACCUACCUAUAAGACUGGGAUAACUUCGGGAAACCGGAGCUAAUACCGGAUAAUAUAUUGAACCGCAUGGUUCAAUAGUGAAAGACGGUUUUGCUGUCACUUAUAGAUGGAUCCGCGCCGCAUUAGCUAGUUGGUAAGGUAACGGCUUACCAAGGCGACGAUGCGUAGCCGACCUGAGAGGGUGAUCGGCCACACUGGAACUGAAACACGGUCCAGACUCCUACGGGAGGCAGCAGUAGGGAAUCUUCCGCAAUGGGCGAAAGCCUGACGGAGCAACGCCGCGUGAGUGAUGAAGGUCUUCGGAUCGUAAAACUCUGUUAUUAGGGAAGAACAAAUGUGUAAGUAACUAUGCACGUCUUGACGGUACCUAAUCAGAAAGCCACGGCUAACUACGUG